AUUGGUCAUUUGCGGGGGGAGGGGCUGUAGAGAGGCGUAGCAAGGGUGGGAGGUUGGUAGGAGAGGAGAUGGUUAGGAAUUGUUGGAAUUGGUACCGGUUGCCCCAAAGGCCCGUGAAUAGGAUUCUGGAAGCUGUAAGAACUGAUGGAGAACACUUGAGGGACACCUACUAUGUUCUUCUGCUGACUGUAUUCCAGCAUUAAGAAAGCCUGGGAGCAAGCUAAAGUUGUAGAACUAUCAGAAUAAAGUAAGAGAUGGAAGAGACCAGAAUGUCAGAUGGACAAGUAGUUUUGCACACCAGUUUGUGAACUGGGGUUCAUCUAUGGUGAAGUUGCUACAGAUCAGCAGAGAAAUAAGAAAAAAAUAUAGUGGGACAUCAAUCUUCUCUAGCCUUUGGACUUGGACUCAGAAUGGAACUUACACGUUUGGUUCUCUUGGGUCUCCAACUUGCCAACAGUAGAUCUUGGAACUUCUCAGCCUCCAAAUAGCUAAAAACUUGGAAGAUACUUUGACACUGGGUAAUGGGAAGAGGCUGGAAGAGUUUUGAGGUGCAUGCUAGAAAUAUGGACAUUAGGGGCGAUUCUGGGAAGUCUCAGACUAAAAUGAGGAACAUGUUAUUAGAAUAUAGAGGGAAGGUGAUCUUUGUCAUCAAGUGGCAAAGGAUUUGGCUGAACUGUGUUCUAGUGUUUGUGGAAGGUAGAACUUGUUGAGGGAUGAAAUUAGAUAUUUAACUGAGGAGAUUUCUAAGUGAAGUGUUGAAGGAGUGGCUUGAUUCCCACGACUGAAGAAUGAGAGAACAGAGAGAGGAAAGAAGAGUAAAAUGAGAGAAGAGAUGGAUGAAUUGCAGAAGGAAUUGUUACAUAGAAAGGAACCAGACUCGGGAAUUUGGAUAAUUCUCACUUGCCCAUAUUGCAAAAAACGAUAAAGCAUGUUCUAAAGAGAACACCAAGCUCAUAAAUGCACUAUCACUCAAUAAAGUUAUGGGAUUGUAGAAGAAACACUGCCAGUUUGAACUGAAGGGUCAGAGCUGGGACAAAAUGAAGAAAGUCAGCCAGACUUCUUGGAUUCUAGAAGACAAGACCAUAGGCCUGUUUGGCUGUGAAUGUGUGUUUUUGUUCAAAGAAAGAAAGGAAUGACCCAGAAGGAGAUCAAGAGAUUGUGAGGACUGCCAUGUUCACCAGUGGUCCUGAGACAGGCUGUCUCUACCUCAGUUUCAAAGGGUAAGGCUGCCUGUCUUGUGGACCAGGAAGAUCCCACCCACGUCUCAGGAGUACAGCUGCCCUGUGGAACCUUAGGAGCCCCACCAAACCCCAAACACUGGGGGUACAUUAGGGGUGCAAUUCCUAUCUAGUAAAGCCUUGGAAGUGCGGCUGCUGCCCCAGUUCUGAAGGCAGAGCAUCAAAACAAAGAGGAUUUCUCAAGUCUUAAGAUCUGAUGGAAUUUGCCUUGCUAGGCUUUGGAGUUGCUUAGGACCCACCACCCUUUCCUUCUUUCUUCUUUCUUCUUCUUGGAAUAGGAGUGUCUAUUUU